CGAGCGGACAGAAGGGAGCUUGCUCCCGGAUGUUAGCGGCGGACGGGUGAGUAACACGUGGGUAACCUGCCUGUAAGACUGGGAUAACUCCGGGAAACCGGAGCUAAUACCGGAUAGUUCCUUGAACCGCAUGGUUCAAGGAUGAAAGACGGUUUCGGCUGUCACUUACAGAUGGACCCGCGGCGCAUUAGCUAGUUGGUGGGGUAAUGGCUCACCAAGGCGACGAUGCGUAGCCGACCUGAGAGGGUGAUCGGCCACACUGGGACUGAGACACGGCCCAGACUCCUACGGGAGGCAGCAGUAGGGAAUCUUCCGCAAUGGACGAAAGUCUGACGGAGCAACGCCGCGUGAGUGAUGAAGGUUUUCGGAUCGUAAAGCUCUGUUGUUAGGGAAGAACAAGUGCGAGAGUAACUGCUCGCACCUUGACGGUACCUAACCAGAAAGCCACGGCUAACUACGUGCCAGCAGCCGCGGUAAUACGUAGGUGGCAAGCGUUGUCCGGAAUUAUUGGGCGUAAAGGGCUCGCAGGCGGUUUCUUAAGUCUGAUGUGAAAGCCCCCGGCUCAACCGGGGAGGGUCAUUGGAAACUGGGAAACUUGAGUGCAGAAGAGGAGAGUGGAAUUCCACGUGUAGCGGUGAAAUGCGUAGAGAUGUGGAGGAACACCAGUGGCGAAGGCGACUCUCUGGNCUGUAACUGACGCUGAGGAGCGAAAGCGUGGGGAGCGAACAGGAUUANAUACCCUGGUAGUCCACGCCGNAAACGAUGAGUGC
rnacentral:rRNA from 1 species